rnacentral:rRNA from 1 species
UACAGAGGGUGCAAGCGUUAAUCGGAAUUACUGGGCGUAAAGCGCACGUAGGCGGUUUUUUAAGUCAGAUGUGAAAGCCCCGGGCUCAACCUGGGAAUUGCAUUUGAAACUGGGAAACUAGAGUGUGUGAGAGGGGGGUAGAAUUCCAAGUGUAGCGGUGAAAUGCGUAGAGAUUUGGAGGAAUACCAGUGGCGAAGGCGG